rnacentral:misc_RNA from 1 species
GAUGAAGAACGUAGCGAAAUGCGAUACGUAAUGUGAAUUGCAAAUUCAGUGAAUCAUCGAGUCUUUGAACGCACAUUGCGCCCCCUGGUAUUCCGGGGGGCAUGCCUGUCCGAGCGUCAUUGCUGCCCUCAAGCACGGCUUGUGUGUUGGGCCCCGUCCUCCGAUCCCGGGGGACGGGCCCGAAAGGCAGCGGCGGCACCGCGUCCGGUCCUCGAGCGUAUGGGGCUUUGUCACCCACUCUGUAGGCCCGGCCGGCGCUUGCCGAUCAACCCAAAUUUUUAUCCAGGUUGACCUCGGAUCAGGUAGGGAUACCCGCUGAACUUAAGCAUAUCAAUAAGCGGAGGA